rnacentral:lncRNA from 1 species
UCCCCCUUUGUCGAUGGCAUAUAUGUUUUAACUCAUGUCUAGUCAAUAUUCUAUUUUACCCUUAUGAGCAUGCUCCCCCUGAAUUAUUGACCCAUAAUAUUCAAUUUAAAAGCAGUGGAUCAUGCAUGAUUUCUCCCCCUUAAAACAAUAAGGUAUCGACAAAGUUAAAAAUAGAUACCUAUGAAGUAUCUCCUCCUUAAUGAUAGGACAUAUCUAAUUUGUGGAGAAAAUAAAAUUUCAUACCUCAUUGAGCUUUAAUCACAAAUUCGAUUUGUGUGGUUGACCAAAUGUGACGUCUUGCUUAUAAGAGUGUUAGUCAAUCAUAAAGGAGAAAUAACAUGUAAUUUAUGCUCAUUGAUAAAAUAUUGAAGCCAAUUUUGAUAUACAUUAUAAGGCAAGUAUGAUAUGAUAAUUUAGAUUGCCUUGUGCUAAGAUCAUGCAAUGAAU